GACGAAGGAUGCGAGCGUUAUCCGGAUUCAUUGGGUUUAAAGGGAGCGUAGGUGGCCUUAUAAGUCAGUGGUGAUAUCCCGCAGCUUAACUGUGGAAUUGCCAUUGAUACUGUAGGGCUUGAGUACAGAUGCCGUUGGCGGAAUAUGACAUGUAGUGGUGAAAUACAUAGAGAUGUCAUAGAACACCGAUUGCGAAGGCAGCUGACGAAACUGUAACUGACACUGAGGCUCGAAAGUGUGGGGAUCAAACAGG
rnacentral:rRNA from 1 species